rnacentral:rRNA from 1 species
GACGAGCCACACGAACGUUAUUCGGAAUUACUGGGCUUAAAGGGUGCGUAGGCGGUGCGGAAAGUUGGGUGUGAAAUCCCUCGGCUCAACCGAGGAACUGCGCUCAAAACUACCGUACUUGAGGAAGAUAGAGGUGAGCGGAACUUACGGUGGAGCGGUGAAAUGCGUUGAUAUCGUAAGGAACACCCGUGGCGAAAGCGGCUCACUGGGUCUUUUCUGACGCUGAUGCACGAAAGCUAGGGGAGCAAACGGG